UUGCUUGGUUUCCCUUAGCUUGGCCUAUACAAUCAGAUGGUGAUAUAAAAGGGGUGUAAUAGCUUAAUCUCAGGGCCCCUCAGCAACCAGCUCUCUGGGGGAAAGGGCUGGGCCUUUUACCUCUACAGCUCCCUGUUUCCUCUUCAGAAAAUAUGCCCAGAAAAUCUUAUCAUCUCAACCUCCCUCUUUCCUUGUGGAAUUCUACCCUUUGCCCUAGAGGGAAAAAUUGCUAUACCUAGCCACAGGUAACAGCAGCCCUUAUCCUGCCUUCUCAUUAUACAUUCACUGCAUACCCCUCACCAAUUGAAGUCUGCUCCUUCCCCUGUCCCCCACCAAAGACAAUCGGUACUCUGUCUUCUCCAUAGGGAAUAGCUAAUAAUUGCCCCCAUAGCCUUCCCCCCACAAAUUAAUUAAUUUACUAUUGACUUCUCCCUCCAGUUCUGUCCUUUGUGGAGUGAACUGAGGCAUUUCCAAAAACACCUACGUUAUUUAGGAUUGUGGGUCCCAUGGAAGAGCAAUGAGACUUGUACUUCUGAAUCACUUCUGAGGUACUCUUGAAAAUCCCAUCCCUUAUCUCUCUUCUGGGAUUCACAGUGUAGUGGGUGAAGGGCUGGCCCACUAGCUCCUCACUAAGGAAACCUCCCUAUGGAUUGCAUACUCGGUGUAUUCUGUAGGGGCAAAGGGUAAUGGACUCCAGCAAGUGAACUUAGAGCUAUGUAAGGGGGCAAUUGCCUCCAUACUGGAUUUAUUCAGUGUAAUACAGCGGUUCACAAACUGUUUCGCAGGAUCACUAGUGUUUCACAGAGCACAUUCUAAUGGUCUGCAGAAAGGUGACUGGUCACAUUGUGAUUUUUCUCCUUGUUUGCACCCAGUACAUCAGAAGCACAGAAAUAUAUUAAAAAUUUUCCUAUGUUAUUUUCCCAUGUAAACAAGUAAGUUACUGUGACCAUGAACAGGAGGUGAGGUGUCCAUGAGACAAUCUUUUGGUUGAGAUGUGGUCUACAGUAGUCUGAAAACUGCUGGUAACACAUAAGGGGAUUUCUGUACUUUCACAGUGCCUAUGUAUUUGAAUACUACAAAAUCAUGCACCCAGGUUUUUGAGCAACCAUCAAUUUGCAAGCAGAGAAGUUCUGUUCUGCAUGCCAUUGUGCUAGGUGAGCAAGGCUGCUCUCCUUCCUUGUGUCCCAUCUGGUGGGAAGUGAUUUCUAUAAUACACCAUUUUGUACUAUGUAUAAUAUAUAUUGACUUCUUAUCACACCUCCAAUCCUGUUCCUUUGUCAAGUGAAUUGAGGCAUUUUCAAAAACACGUACAUUAUUUAGGGUUAUUUAUAUAUAAUAUAAAUUAUUAUUUUAUUAUUCUAAGGACCAUCAAGACUUCUUCUAUUAAAAGGUUUCUUUCCUGAAGGGGCUUCUUAUUUGUUAGCUAUUGCUUGCCCAUUAUCGGUCUCUGAUAUUGACCCAGAUGUUUUUAAUUUACUUCCCCAAACACACAAUUGCUUUUUUAAAUUGUGCAGAAAGGCAGAGAUUUUUAUUAGACCUGUCUAUCCACUGCUCCCAUUUAGGAGACAUUUUUAAUGGGUUUGGGUCAAUAUGCUCCAUGCCUUGUGGUUAAGACACAGGACCAGAUUCCAGAAGACCCUCCUUCUAUUUCCAGCCCUUCCACCAACUUCCCAUGUAACCAUGGCUAAGGCACUUAACCUCUCCAGUGCCUUAGUUUCCUCAUCUGUAAAUGAGGAUGAUGUCUCAUUCACAGUGUGUAAAGAGCUUUGAGAUCCUCAGUUAGAAAAUGCUGAAGAAGUGCCAAGCAUUACUGUAAAAAUGUGGUAUAGAAAUUAGUUUUGUGCUGAAACUGACAGAAACCACAGGGCAACUGGAAAGAAUGGGAAGAUCAGAAACCAGAGUUUAUGCCAAGGUGAAGGGAGAUGUGGGGGUGAAGUACCACACUGGAUCCCCAACUCCUGGAUAGGAAUUCCCUCCAGUUGUGAAAUUCUCUUCACCAGAACACAGUGGAUAGAGUGUAAUUCCUGCUUCAUCCAUUCAUUAAAGAGGGGAUAAAGCCAGGUGCUCUUCUCUAGCUUCCAUGGCUUUCCCUAUAGAGAGGCACCUGAUAAAUCAUCAGAAGUUAAUGAUCAAAAAGCUUAUCAGGGUCUUUUCGUUUAUAAAUUUAUAAGACAAAAGAGAAAUAAUAAAGCCAUUGGAUAAUUAGUAACUAGCCAGGGCCCGCCCGGUGCAACUGGAGCUCAAACUGCCCCAAGAUCUCUACACAGGCUUAGGGAGAAGAGAGAGAGAAGGAGAUGGGUAAAAGCAAUGUGAAAGAGAGAGAGACAGACAGACACUCACAGACAGGUAGACAUAGAAACAGGGUGAUGAGAGACAGAGAGAAGUGGUGGGGGGAUAGGAAAGGAGGAUCUGAGGAAAACAGAUAUAGAACAGGGGAGUUGGAAACAGCAAGGGUGUAAUAAAGAGGGAGGGGGACAAAAUUAAAAGGCAAAGACAGGAAAGGGGUUUAUUGGAUGGAAAAGAAGAUUGAAUUAUGGGGAGCAUCUUUCCUCUCAGGGAAGAGGUGAAGGAAAGAGAAAUAAAGGAACGGAGAGCAAGAAGGGGAAAGGAAAACCAUGUCCUUACUGUAAUAGUCUCUCCACCACAGCCUUCUGGUGAGCAGCCUCCUCUGGACUUAGGUUUUCCAGCUCCUUCAUUAUUGGAGGGGUGAAUUCCUCCCCAUCGUCAGAGGUUUCCUCCUCGGACAUCCUGGAUUCCUCCAUCCCAUUGGACAGAUUGGGAAUUUCAGCACAGAGUUCCCCUUUUUCCGCCUGGAUGGCACUGAUGGCACGCUGGCUUUCACUCUGGAGGGCAUAGGGGUCCACUUCCCCGAGCGCUUUGAUCAGGGUCUCCUUGGUUAGCCCUGACUCCAGUAGUGCUCCCAGCAGCUCCACCUGAAGAUGACUCAGCUUAGAGACCAUGGUCUUCAGUCUGGUGUCCCUUGGAUUUGAGUUUCAGCACGUUCUGCCUUCAGCCUUCCCUACACCAUGUUCCUGAGAUGUCGUUUGCUCCAGAAAGCACCUCCUCCCCUUGGCACAGGGCAGAAUACACAAGUAAAGUUAACAUGGCUAACCUGAAGUCCUGGAACACAGUCUCAGCCUGGUUAAAGACACAGCAUACUGUAGUCUGAGCCCCAGUUAUAAUAAUGAAUAAUCUCCUUCACUCCCACCCAAACAGUGGACAAGACAGUGUACUGCAUGGGAGUUGUCUUAAAGUGUUGAAUUGCUGGCAUUUCCUGACAGACUUUUGGAACAAGGGUUACAUGUCAGCUGUUAGUGCAAACCGUGAACACCUCACUGGAUGGAAGGGGUACCAAAAUACAUGAUUAUGAAGGGAAAUUCGUUUGUAGUAGAGCAGGAGAGUAAACAGCUAAUUUUUGGUAGGUACCGAACCUGGAGCCUUGUCCUCAGCAGAGCAAUGUCUUGCCUCUUUAAUUCCCCUCGCCACGUGGUGCAGGGAGUAGUUAAGAUCAAGAAAACAAGAUAUUUUGAUGCCCUUCCCUGACAAUCCAUCUCCCUAGGGAAAUAGUUGAAGAUCUAAUGGAGAUUUAAAAUUAGACUGGACAAAGAACUAGAAAGUAUAGUAUAGGGAAUGACCCUGCACUGGCCUUAGGGAGAUGGAGGGGACAAGUCUUAUUUAUCUCUAGUUUCCUCUCUCUCUAAAGGAGGAGGAGGAGGAUGUGCACACAAGUAUGCCAUCCUUUCAUUCUUUGACCUGCUGGAUAAACAGAGGUAGGAGCACACAUUUAAACCAUCUACAAUGUUGAGAUUCAUAUUAAGAUCUUGAAUGCAGAAGAACCCAUUGCAGCUCUGAGAUAAAUUCUAAGACUGGAAUUCUGAUUUUUGCCUUCUUUCCCUGCUCAUUUCCAUCCUCUCUGCUCCCCUCAAACCUCCGAAGAGCAGACAACCAUUCCUGUCAUGUCUCUGUCUGCAAGGUGGCCAUUUCACACUAGGCCACUCUGCUCUUCUCUCUCUAUUUCCAUCAGUGAGGAAUCAGGACUGGCUCUGUUAGACUGACAUCUGAUAAAAGACAAGCUUUGUGGCUGAUGGGGGAGGGCUCUUUGCUGUCACUGGUGCCAUCUGAUUCCCCUCUACCACCCGUUCUCUCCACUGCUGUUACCUUACUGUGCCCUGGGAGCUACUUAUGCAACCAGGGACAAAGAAGGAUCUUAUUUGUUUGCUGCCAGCACUGAAAUGGCUCUGACAGAUCUAGGCACUGCAGCAGUGUAUGUUCAAGGUGCAGUGCAGUGCAGUGCAGCUCACUGGAAGAGAGACUGUAAUGUCAAAAGCAACUAAGAGUCCUGUGGCACCUUAUAGAGUAACAGAUGUAUUGGAGCAUAAGCUUUUGUGGGUGAAUACCCACUUCGUCAGAUGCAUGUAAUGGAAAUUUUGAGAGGCAGGUAUAAAUAUACAGGC